ACCUACCUUGCCAGAGGGAUAGCGAUAACUACUUCAGAUUAAUGCUCCAUGGUUUAUCGAUCUGGCAUCGUAUUGAUAAUAAAGAUUUAUCUCUAUAAGAUGGGCAUGCGUAUCAUUAGCUAGUUGGUGUGGUAACGGCAUACCAAGGCAACGAUGAUUAGGGGUCCUGAUAGGGAGAUCCCCCACACUGGUGCUGAUACACGGACCACACUCCUACGGGAGGCAGCAGUGAGGAAUAUUGUUCAAUGGAGGCAACUCUGAACCAGCCAUGCCGCGUGCAGGAUGACGGUCCUAUGGAUUGUAAACUGCUUUUGUACAGGAAAAGACCUCCCUACGAGUAGGGACUUGACGGUACUGUAAUAAUAACGAUCGGCUAACUCCGUGCCUCCAGCCGCGGUAAUACGGAGGAUCCGAGCGUUAUCCGGAAUUAUUGGGUUUAAAGGGUUCGUACGCGGCUUUGUAAGUCAGUGGUGAAAUUUCCUAGCUUAACUAGGACACUGCCAUUGAUACUGCAGAGCUUGAAUAAUAUGGAAGUAACUAGAAUAUGUAAUGUAGCGGUGAAAUGCUUAGAUAUUACAUGGAAUACCAAUUGCGAAGGCAGGUUACUACGUAUUUAUUGACGCUGAUGAACGAAAGCGUGAGGAGCGAACAGGAUUAGAUACCCUGGUAGUCCACGCCGUAACGAUGGAUACUAGCUGUUCGGUUUUCGGACUGAGUGGCUAAGCGAAAGUGAUAAGUAUCCCAACUGCGGAGUACGUUCGCAAGAAUGAACUCAAAGGAACUGACUGGGAGUCCGCACAGCCGGUGGCAGCAUGUGAUGAAGUCCGAUGAUACUCGAUGA
rnacentral:rRNA from 1 species